GCCGUACCAUGCUGAAUAUACCGGUUCUCAUUAGAUCACCGAAGUCAAGCAUCAUUGGGCGCGGUCAGUUUUUGGGUGGGUGACCACCUGGGAAUCGAGUG
rnacentral:rRNA from 1 species